ACUUGUGGCCAAUUUCAUGGCCUCUCAUGGCCAUGCCCGCGCCACUUCACUCUUCCCCAUCCUGAAGUGCGGCUGCUGCUUUUGGGGAUCCGCUCGGAGAGGACUACUUCUGGCCAAUUUCUUUCUCCACCAGGUGAGGACUAUUCCCCUGGCCGCUUCAGAUCCCCACCAGGUUUACAACACGAGAUUCCUGACCAGAAGGGGAACAAGGCGGAGUGGCAUGGUGACCAGUUCCAGAUGUGCAUCUGUUCUCGUGAAACUAAGGACAAUAAGAUCCAGGUAGAACACCACUUCUAGGGGAUGCUCUUGUUGAUGCCAGGACAGUCUGUUUUGCAUUUAGGAAUGUUGGGGAGGAAUACUACAUCAAGAAGAACGAUCGGGUAGAGUUUAUCGCAAUACUUGGACUAUUUGGACUGCUUGUCAGUACAAUUCGGAUGUAUCCUCUACACAGUUCAUGAUUAAUAGCAGACCCACAGAGGAAAAUUGUCAUAAUUCAUUGAUAUUGCCAUCUAUAGAUUUGAUCUUGUUAUUGCCUAGUUAAAAGAUCACUACCUUUUUUCUGGAACAAAAAUGUCUUGACAAUACUCUCCUGGAACAAAUAUUCAUGUGACCACCUAACCUUACAAAAUAUCAGAUUUUCUACAAAUGGUACAUGUCAACUUACGGUUAUUGCAAUCCAGCGGAACCUUUUAAUAUCUAGAUUAGUACAAAGUACAAAGAAGAGCGUAGUUACAAUCAUCCAUGAAGACCAAUUUCAUAUCUGCAUUUAGUUUUUUAGAAAAGGAGGAUGACCCCCGGCCUCUGCAUCUGGGCGAUGCAUACGGCCACUUUAUUAAUUAUUCUCACAAGAUCUUACAAAGUCAUACAACAG